rnacentral:rRNA from 1 species
ACCGCUGGCGGCGUGCCUAAUACAUGCAAGUAGAACGCUGAGGUUUGGUGUUUACACUAGACUGAUGAGUUGCGAACGGGUGAGUAACGCGUAGGUAACCUGCCUCAUAGCGGGGGAUAACUAUUGGAAACGAUAGCUAAUACCGCAUAAGAGUAAUUAACACAUGUUAGUUAUUUAAAAGGAGCAAUUGCUUCACUGUGAGAUGGACCUGCGUUGUAUUAGCUAGUUGGUGAGGUAAAGGCUCACCAAGGCGACGAUACAUAGCCGACCUGAGAGGGUGAUCGGCCACACUGGGACUGAGACACGGCCCAGACUCCUACGGGAGGCAGCAGUAGGGAAUCUUCGGCAAUGGACGGAAGUCUGACCGAGCAACGCCGCGUGAGUGAAGAAGGUUUUCGGAUCGUAAAGCUCUGUUGUUAGAGAAGAACGUUGGUAGGAGUGGAAAAUCUACCAAGUGACGGUAACUAACCAGAAAGGGACGGCUAACUACGUGCCAGCAGCCGCGGUAA